rnacentral:rRNA from 1 species
AUUGAACGCUGGCGGCAGGCCUAACACAUGCAAGUCGAGCGGAUGAAGGGAGCUUGCUCCUGGAUUCAGCGGCGGACGGGUGAGUAAUGCCUAGGAAUCUGCCUGGUAGUGGGGGAUAACGUCUGGAAACGGGCGCUAAUACCGCAUACGUCCUGAGGGAGAAAGUGGGGGAUCUUCGGACCUCACGCUAUCAGAUGAGCCUAGGCCGGAUUAGCUAGUUGGUGGGGUAAAGGCCUACCAAGGCGACGAUCCGUAACUGGUCUGAGAGGAUGAUCAGUCACCCUGGAACUGGACCGCGGUCCAGGCUCCUACGGGAGGCCGCAGUCGGGAAUAUUGGACAGUGGGCGAAAGCCUGGUCCAACCAUGCCGAGUGUGUGAAGAAGGUCUUCGGAUUGUAAAGCACUUUAAGUUGGGAGAAAGGGCAGUAAGUUAAUACCUUGCUGUUUUGACGUUACCAACAGAAUAAGCACCGGCUAACUUCGUG